GACGAACGCUGGCGGCGUGCUUAACACAUGCAAGUCGAGCGGUAAGGCCCUUUCGGGGGUACACGAGCGGCGAACGGGUGAGUAACACGUGGGUGACCUGCCCUCAGCUCUGGGAUAAGCCUGGGAAACCGGGUCUAAUACUGGAUAUGACUCCAUGACGCAUGUUGUGGGGUGGAAAGCCUUGUGCGGCUGAGGAUGGGCCCGCGGCCUAUCAGCUUGUUGGUGGGGUGANGGCCUACCAAGGCGACGACGGGUAGCCGGCCCUGAGAGGGCGACCGGCCACACUGGGACUGAGACACGGCCCAGACUCCUACGGGAGGCAGCAGUGGGGAAUCUUGCGCAAUGGGCGAAAGCCUGACGCAGCGACGCCGCGUGAGGGAUGACGGCCU
rnacentral:rRNA from 1 species